rnacentral:tRNA from 1 species
GCUUGGGUGGCUCAGUCGGUUGAGCGUCUGACUUGGGCUCAGGUCAUGAUCUCAAGUUCGUGGGUUCGAGCCUCGCAUCAGGCU